rnacentral:ncRNA from 1 species
CACCGCCCGUCGCUACUACCAAUUGAAUGAUUUAGUGAGGUCUUAGGAAUGGUUCUAGAAGCGGCUUUCGGGUCGCUUCGUCGUGCCAGAAAGAUGACCAAACUUCAUCAUAUGGAGGAAGUAAAAGUCGUAACAAGGUUUUCGUAAGAGAACCUGUGGAAG